CCUGGGCUUGACAUGUGGGUGACCGCCAUGGAAACAUGGCUUCUCUUCGGAGCACCUUCACAGGUGGUGCAUGGCUGUCGUCAGCUCGUGUCGUGAGAUGUUGGGUUAAGUCCCGCAACGAGCGCAACCCCCGUCGCAUGUUGCCAGCAUUUAGUUGGGGACUCAUGCGAGACUGCCGGUGACAAACCGGAGGAAGGUGGGGAUGACGUCAAGUCAUCAUGCCCCUUAUGUUCAGGGCUACACACGUGCUACAUUGGCGCGUACAGAGGGCUGCGAUACCGCGAGGUGGAGCGAAUCCCUUAAAGCGCGUCUCGGUUCGGAUUGCAGGCUGAAACCCGCCUGCAUGAAGGUGGAGUUGCUAGUAAUCGCGGAUCAGCAUUGCCGCGGUGAAUACGUUCCC
rnacentral:rRNA from 1 species